CACAGCUAUUUGUUUGGUAGGAAAAUACACUUGUCAAAUGUCAAUGAAUCACUGAACUGACAGCUAUUCCCGUCGUGUUGCCAGCACCUUCUGUCCACAUUUCUCGACUUAUGUCGAGACGGGGACCGUGUGAUAUUAAAAUAAAUAUUAUGUUCCUUGUCAAACGAGUGAUUUUUGUCUCUGAACAUUCCCUCUAUUCUAAUAAAUAUUAUUUUCCGCUUGUCCAGCGAAUUUCAUUGCGCUUUAAAUUAAUUCCCGUAACACGAAACGACGUCGAGUGUUCCGAGGAAGUACCCGGAUUGGGACCCUGGCAACACCGAAGAGGAAGCGAGAAAAAAAAUGGACCAACGCCAUUUUGAAGACAGAUUUUCUCCCAAGAAUAGGCCGACAGGCCGCCUUUGAGUGUUUUGGACGAUUUUAUUCCCUUGCUGCCCUUGUUCGGCAGAAAAGCGGGCCGUGACUAACCGGCUUCCGCGGGCGCCGGGCGCGUCUCUGUCCCCUUGGAGUUGACAUUUGCUCACCGUAAACCCCCGCAGGACAAUUUUCCUCCGACAGGAGGUGUUUGGUAGAGGCGUGGCCGUUGGAGGGCCAGACCCAGCGCCGCGGCUCCUCGUGGUUCCGACUGGCAGGUGCGGAGUGACUGGAAGCUCCGGCCAGCUGAGAGGGAAGACCAUCGCCUCGCCGCUUCAAACCAGCUAAGCCUUAUAACGUUGUUGCCGCUCUCUUCUCCGGCCUAGUAGUUCUGUAACAUCUCCGUACUAUAGCGCAAUCGACCAAAUAUCACCUUGUGUUCCCGUAAUUAGAUAAGUUAUAAGCUAAAAGGCCCUAAGCCAUAAGUAGUUGUCAAUAAGCAAGCCCAUUUGGUGCAGAGUUAAAUAAAUUUUGUAUGUUACUA